rnacentral:rRNA from 1 species
UAGGGAAUCUUCGGCAAUGGACGGAAGUCUGACCGAGCAACGCCGCGUGAGUGAAGAAGGUUUUCGGAUCGUAAAGCUCUGUUGUUAGAGAAGAACGUUGGUAGGAGUGGAAAAUCUACCAAGUGACGGUAACUAACCAGAAAGGGACGGCUAACUACGUGCCAGCAGCCGCGGUAAUACGUAGGUCCCGAGCGUUGUCCGGAUUUAUUGGGCGUAAAGCGAGCGCAGGCGGUUCUUUAAGUCUGAAGUUAAAGGCAGUGGCUUAACCAUUGUACGCUUUGGAAACUGGAGGACCUGAGUGCAGAAGGGGAGAGUGGAAUUCCAUGUGUAGCGGUGAAAUGCGUAGAUAUAUGGAGGAACACCGGUGGCGAAAGCGGCUCUCUGGUCUGUAACUGACGCUGAGGCUCGAAAGCGUGGGGAGCAACCAGG